UUAGCAACUAAAACAAACAACUAAAACUACAAAAAUUGGAAGGAUACAGAGGAGAUUAGCAUGGCCCCUGCACAAGGAUGACAUGUAGAUUUGUGAAGCAUUCCAUAUUUUU